UUGUUGGUGAGGUAAAGGCCCACCAAGGCUAAGACAGGUAGCUGGCGUGAGAGCGUGGUCAGCCACAAAGGAACUGAGAGACGGUCCUUACUCCUACGGGAGGCUGCAAUUAGGAAUCUUGCGCAAUGGGGGCAACCCUGACGCAGCGACGCCGCGUGAAGGAUGAAGGUCCUAGGAUCGUAAACUUCUUUUAUAGGGGAAGAAUAAUUGACGGUACUCUAUGAAUAAGUGCCUGCUAACUACGUGCCAGAAGCAUCGGUGACGCGUAGGGCACAAACAUUACCCGGAGUUAUUGGGUGUAAGGAGAUGCGUAGGCGUUUUGGUAAGUCUUGUGUUAAAGACCUCCGCUCAACGGAGGGAGUGCACUCGAAACUACCAGAAUUGAGACAGGAAGGGGUGAGUAGAAUUCCCGGUGUAGCGGUUAAAUGCGUUGAUAUCGGGAGGAAUACCAGGGGCGAAGGCGACUCACUGUUCCUGUUCUUGCCCUCAGGCUCAAAGCUUGGGAGCAAAACGGAUUAGAUACUCGUGUAGUCCACGCUGUAAACA
rnacentral:rRNA from 1 species